CGAGACUUUGCGAGAGGCCUUCGUGUGCCAAAAAUAGGCCGCGGGCAAAGCCGCGCCCAAAAAUAACGGCCCAAAGGCCGGGGCGCCAAGUUCGUCCAGCGGAAAAAGGCCACAAAAACGGGUGUUCUAUAGCCUUGGGGGGUGGGGCUGGCCAACUUCGUCCGCCGGACUCGGAAUGCCGUGACACUUUGCAAGGGGCCUCUGUGUGCCAAAAAUAGGCCGCGGACAAAGCCGCGCCCAAAAAUAACAGCCAGAAGGCCGGGGCGCCAAGUUCGUCCAGCGGAAAAAGGCCACAAAAACGGGUGGCCUAUAGCCUUGGGGGGUGGGGCUGGCCAACUUCGUCCGCCGGACUCGGAAUGCCGCGACACGUUGCGAGGGGCCUCCGUGCGCCAAAAAUAGGCCGCGGGCAAAGCCGCGCCCAAAAAUAAUCCCCCGAAGGCCGGGGCACCACGUUCGUCCAGAGGAAAAAGGCCACAAAAACGGGUGGGCUAUAGGCUUGGGGGGUGGGGCUGGCCCACUUCGUCCGCCGGACUCGGAAUGCCGCGAGACUUUGCGAGAGGCCUCUGUGUGCCAAAAAUAGGCUGCGAGCAAAGCUGCGCCCAAAAAUAACUGCCCGAAGGCCGGGGCGCCAAGUUCGUCCAGCGGAAAAAGGCCACAAAAACGGGUGGGCUAUAGCCUUGGGGGGUGGGGCUCGCCAACUUCGUCUGCCGGACUCGGAAUGCCGCGAGACUUUGCGAGGGGCCUCUGUGCGCCAAAAAAAGGCAGCGGGCAAAGCCGCGCCCAAAAAUAAUCCCCCGAAGGCCGGGGCGCCACGUUCGUCCAGCGGAAAAAGGCCACAAAAACGGGUGGGCUAUAGCCUUGGGGGGUGGGGCUGGCCCACUUCGUCCGCCGGACUCGAAAUGCCGCGAGACUUUGUGAGGGGGCUCCGUGUACCAAAAAUAGGCC
rnacentral:lncRNA from 1 species